rnacentral:sRNA from 1 species
UUAUGGUUUUGAUUUGCAUUUCCCUGAUCACUAGUGAUGUCAAUCAUCACUGUCACUUUUAAAAGGUACUAAUCCCAAAGCUUUUGAUUUGUUUUUAAUUUAGGAAACAAUAAAUAUUUAGACCAAAUUGGGAACACGACCUCUUCACAGAGGAGAUCCAAGAAAGAACAAGUACCAUCAGGAGCAGAAUUGGAGAGGCAACAAAUCCUUCAGGAAAUGAGGAAGAGAACACCCCUUCACAAUGACAACAGCUGGAUCCGACAGCGCAGUGCCAGUGUCAACAAAGAGCCUGUUAGUCUUCCUGGGAUCAUGAGAAGAGGCGAAUCUUUAGAUAACCUGGACUCCCCCCGAUCCAAUUCUUGGAGACAGCCUCCUUGGCUCAAUCAGCCCACAGGAUUCUAUGCUUCUUCCUCCGUGCAAGACUUUAGUCGCCCACCACCUCAGCUGGUGUCCACAUCAAACCGUGCCUACAUGCGGAACCCCUCCUCCAGCGUGCCCCCGCCUUCAGCUGGCUCCGUGAAGACUUCCACCACAGGUGUGGCCACCACACAGUCCCCCACCCCGAGAAGCCAUUCCCCUUCAGCUUCACAGUCAGGCUCUCAGCUGCGUAACAGGUCAGUCAGUGGGAAGCGCAUAUGCUCCUACUGCAAUAACAUUCUGGGCAAAGGAGCCGCCAUGAUCAUCGAGUCCCUGGGUCUUUGUUAUCAUUUGCAUUGUUUUAAGUGUGUUGCCUGUGAGUGUGACCUCGGAGGCUCUUCCUCAGGAGCUGAAGUCAGGAUCAGAAACCACCAACUGUACUGCAACGACUGCUAUCUCAGAUUCAAAUGUAAGAGAGCAAAUCAGAGAGAAAAUUUCUUGCCUUUUAAGGAGGCCACGGGUUCCCAUGCAUUUCCCUGAACCUGCAGCGAGCUCCCCUCCAAGUUCACUGCCAUAGG